AGCGUUGUUCGGAAUUAUUGGGCGUAAAGGGCUCGUAGGCGGUCAACUAAGUCAUACGUGAAAUCCCUCAGCUUAACUGGGGAACUGCGUGUGAUACUGGAUGGCUUGGAUUUGGGAGAGGGAUGCGGAAUUCCAGGUGUAGCGGUGAAAUGCGUAGAUAUCUGGAGGAACACCGGUGGCGAAGGCGGCAUCCUGGACCAAUAUUGACGCUGAGGAGCGAAAGCCAGGGGAGCAAACGGG
rnacentral:rRNA from 1 species